rnacentral:pre_miRNA from 1 species
UAUGAAUCUAGUGGAAACAUUUCUGCACAGACUAGAUGUUGAUGCCAGUGUGCGGAAAUGCUUCUGCUACAUUUUUAGG